rnacentral:misc_RNA from 1 species
GAUGAAGAACGCAGCGAAAUGCGAUAAGUAGUGUGAAUUGCAGAAUUCAGUGAAUCAUCGAAUCUUUGAACGCACAUUGCGCCCCUUGGUAUUCCAUGGGGCAUGCCUGUUCGAGCGUCAUCUGUACCUUCAAGCUCUGCUUGGUGUUGGGUGUUUGUCUCGCCUCUGCGUGUAGACUCGCCUCAAAACAAUUGGCAGCCGGCGUAUUGAUUUCGGAGCGCAGUACAUCUCGCGCUUUGCACUCAUAACGACGACGUCCAAAAGUACAUUUUUACACUCUUGACCUCGGAUCAGGUAGGGAUACCCGCUGAACUUAAGCAUAUCAAUAAGCGGAGGA